rnacentral:rRNA from 1 species
AAUGAACGUUGGCGGCGUGGAUUAGGCAUGCAAGUCGAGCGAGAACCGUAGCAAUACGGGGACAGCGGCGAAAGGGACAGUAAUGUGUAGGUACCUACCCUGAGGUUCGGGAUAGCUGCGGGAAACUGCAGGUAAUACCGAAUAAUGUCUUCGGACCAAAGGUGUGAUUCCACCUUGGGAGGGGCCUGCAUCCUAUUAGCUAGUUGGCGAGGUAACGGCUCACCAAGGAAACGAUGGGUAGCGGGUGUGAGAGCACGACCCGCGUCAUUGGGACUGAGACACUGCCCAGACACCUACGGGUGGCUGCAGUCGAGGAUCUUCGGCAAUGGGCGCAAGCCUGACCGAGCGACGCCGCGUGCGGGAUGAAGGCCUUCGGGUUGUAAACCGCUGUCGUAGAGGAGGAAAUGCAGGGGGGUUCUCCCCUCUGUUUGACCUAUUCUAGGAGGAAGUACGGGCUAAGUUCGUGCCAGCAGCCGCCGUAAAAC